rnacentral:rRNA from 1 species
CCUACGGGAGACAGCAGUGGGGAAUAUUGCACAAUGGGGGCAACCCUGAUGCAGCAACGCCGCGUGUGUGAAGAAGUAUUUCGGUUUGUAAAGCUCUAUCAGCAGGGAGGAAGAUGACGGUACCUGACUAAGAAGCACCUGCUAACUACGUGCCAGCAGCCGCGGUAAUACGUAGGGGGCAAGCGUUAUCCGGAAUUACUGGGCGUAAAGGGAACGUAGACGGCAUAGCAAGUCUGAAGUGAAAUCCCAAGGCUCAACCAUGGGACUGCUUUUGAAACUGUUAGGCUAGAGUGCUGGAGAGGUAAGCGGAAUUCCUAGUGUAGCGGUGAAAUGCGUAGAGAUUAGGAGGAACACCAGUGGCGAAGGCGGCCUACUGGACAAUAACUGACGUUGAGGCGCGAAAGCGUGGGGAGCAAACAGGAUUAGAUACCCUAGUAGUC